rnacentral:rRNA from 1 species
AUAAAAUUGUGCUUGCACGAUUUAAUACUUAGUGGCGGACGGGUGAGUAACGCGUAAGAAUCUACCUUUUGGCGAGGGACAACCACUGGAAACGGUGGCUAAUACCUCAUAUAACUGAGAAGUGAAAGAUGGAAAUCACCAAGAGAUGAGCUUGCGUCUGAUUAGCUAGUUGGUAAGGUAAUGGCUUACCAAGGCGACGAUCAGUAGCUGGUCUGAGAGGAUGAUCAGCCACACUGGGACUGAGACACGGCCCAGACUCC